CCGCGAGGCUCCGUCGAACAGUUUGAAUCUCCGACGCCAGAGGAACAGUCCAUGACAGCAGCUAAAGUUAGCAAAACCCAAUCACUGAUUUCUGUGGUUGCCAUAGCAACGACGCAAUACGGCCCUCAGGCACGUCAGUAUCCGCCCAGCAGAUGGCGGUAAAUAUUUACUGUUGACGUCCGACACCCGGUGCAUCGUAUGUGUCGUUCAUUGGCCACACAGAGCAGCGUCACGGGCCAGCUGGCUGGAGAGAAGAAAAGGGCAGUGACAGAGCGAUGAAAGCGCUGCUAUAAAACCGGAUUCAGACGGACCUGAAUCCAAGGUGAAAGUGAUGGUGGUGGCGAUGCAACACUGCUGCCCGGUCAGCUUCUUUCCCACAGUGCACCUCUGGGGGCUGGCAUGGCACAUUACUCAUCACCCCUGCAACAGCUGCAGGGCUGUGUUAUCUCAGCAAUGUAUGUGUGUGUGUUUGUGUGUGCGUGUUUAAAUGUGUGGGCAUGUGAGAUCCCUUUAGGUUGUUCUGUCACAGACAUGAUAUAACUCCCGAGAUAUGCUUGGAGGAGCCAAACCAGAAGCGCCUCUCCUGCACGCCAUGGGGCCAAAUUAAAGAAGAAACAAAACAAUUUGAAGUGUGUGAGUUCACCAGAUGCUGCAAGAACAGCUUCGGUGCACCCUGGCAAGUCUCUGAACCCUAACGGAGGGAUGAACACCACUCCUCCAAAAGAUAUUCCCUCAUUUAAAGUUUCAACGAUGGUGCUGCUGUCGAACACAUUGGUGCAUUUCCCACAUGUGUUUUGCAUCAUUUCAUUCUCAUCAAACCAUCCAGUGACCCCCUCGCGUCCCAUGUGGAUGGGCACAUUGCCAUGCUGUUUCUCCAAACAUUCUUCAGAGCCACCGCAGGAUCUGUGUGCAGAGUCCAGGGCAUUGUUCCACAGUGUGUCAGUGGGCAGACUGGAAGCCCCUGGGCACUUUCUCACUGUUGCUGACUCUUUGAGACCCCCUGCAGCUUGAACUUCCCCCCUGCAGCUCCAACUGCCAAAAACCAUAUGCGGCAGACAGCCGUGCCUGUGUUUUCACUAUCGCUACAGCAAGUCUCCAGCAAAAUGUCAACCGAAGCCACAUGUUUGAGCCGGUUACCACUGAGCACAUUUUCUGAAGGAUAUUUUGACUCAUUUGGAACAAAUGCUUAAGUUCGAAGAGCGACUUACUCAUCAAUAACUCAAACAAAGUUUGUCUGUAUUCAGUAGGAAGUGAUGAAUGUUUCGUUGGCACUGGGGAGUCGCAGGAUCCUAUGGAUUGAACCCAGUGAAUGAUGAAGAAUAGAAGGUCAUAUAUAAUGUGAAAUACACUGUUGCACUGUAAUGUAUCAUAUUUGACUGUAUACAAUGGUAUGUUUUUCAUUGGCAUCAGGUCAAAUAUUGCAGCAUGUUGUGUCAUUUUGCCUUGUAUCAUGACAACUAUUAUCACACUGGGUCUUCAAAUUGUACUAUAAGUAUGUAUAUUGUUUGCAUCUUAUAAAAAAAA